rnacentral:misc_RNA from 1 species
GAAAUAAACCUGAUGGGUUGUUGCUGGUUCUCUAGGGAGCAUGUGCACACCUGGUCAUCUUUAUAUCUCCACCUGUGCACCUUUUGUAGACCUUCCGGGUCUAUGUUGCUUCAUUUACCCCAAUGUAUGUUAAUAGAAUGUUGUGACUAUAUAAAAAUAUACAACUUUCAGCAACGGAUCUCUUGGCUCU